UAAGAAUGUAGUAGGCAGGAUCCUACCAUAGCAUAGCACAUUCAAACCAAUCAAGCUCAUCCAAUGAUAAGGAAAAAAUAAUAACAAAACCACGCAAACCCUUGACCAUUAAAAACUUAGUUUUCAUUUGAAACUGUUGCAAAAUUGCAAUAACAAGGAAACCCAAAACAUCCAUCAUUUAUGAAUGCAUGUUCAAAGUAAUUACUUGCUGGUUUGAAAGGCCUGUGCAAACUAUUUAUUGAUUUCCAGAGUCCAGACUACUUUCUGGGCAAAUAUAAGCAUAGUCUAACAGGAAAUAUUGGACAAGGAUGCUUGAUGGCAUCAUAAAAUCCUACAUGACAAAAGUGAUAGCAUAUGACAAAUUCGACUCAAAUCUAUAUUCCAAAAGUGUCCUUGGCUCCUGAACCUGAACAUGCAAUUCUAAUACAAACAUAUCUCCUAUUGGGAUACAACUUCUAUUCCUAAUAAAAUUAGGAUUAGGAUAUUAUCGUCAACAUGAAAUUGAUUUCCUACUCCUCUACAAGGAUCACACCUAUCCAAAUUAUGAUAAACUAUUUAAAGGAUAUGCCCGACUCCAAAUAGAAGUGGAAGUCCUUUAAGAACUAUAAUUCAUACACUAUAAAUAGCCCUCUAAGCAGGUAUGGAAACACAACAUGUUACAAUCUACUACAACAUAUCAUUAUGCCAUUCUGAUGCAUAUUCUCUCUCAUCAUGAGAUUUCUAACUUAGGCAUCAGUUGGCACUCAGCCAAGAGCCCCCCUAAGCUAUUCUAUGAUGGCAGGUAGCCACUCGUCUCAAUUUCAACACUGAUACAUAAAUAAGAACUACACACUCUGUGCGACUGUAACAACAUCUCUAUGUUACCUGUAUUUGUUAAUCUUAUCAAUACUCAAUAACGUAAUUUUAGCAUUGCAGAACUGCAUAAUUAUUAGAAAACACAAGAAACUAGGGCAUUUUCUCACAUAAUGUCACAAUAAGUAUAAAAUAUGCAUGUUAAUCAAGACUUCAAGACAUGCAAAGUACACAUCAUUUGACUGUACUUGAUUUCCACUGCAAAAAUCUGGUAAAUCCCAUUUAUAUUUCACAAUCAUGAACCAUAGUGAAAUGCCAAUAUCAUGGGCUCUAAAAGGCAAACUCAUCAUGAAUAAUAAACUGAUACACAAUUACAUCUCUUCUCUUUCCUAACCUCAAGAACACCAUUCAAACAAUUGAAACCAUUAACAUAUCCCAUACACUGGUCUUAUUAAUACACUAAGGUAUGUAUAAACAACGAUCACCAGGCAACCCCUGCUCGUACAUUUUGAACACAAACCCGUCUAUAUAGAAGUGAACUCUAAAGGGAAUGGUUUAAUUGCAAGACUGAAUACAAUGAAUAAUGGCAACAAAAGCACAACGUUAAAAGACUCUAGCAGUUCAUACAAUUUGAGAUUAAAAAAAUCAUUUAAUCACAAACCUUACAUUAUAUCCACAACAAGACACUCUACAAUGACACCACAAGCAAGUCCCUACUAAAUGGCAUAGCUAACACAAAGAUAUCAUAUCCAUCUGCUAAGAAAAGGAUAACGCGAACAAAAUAAAUGAAAAAAGAGGAAGCGAAAGCUCACCUCACGAAGAGGGCUAUCUUUAG
rnacentral:misc_RNA from 1 species